AGAACGAACGCUGGCGGCAUGCCUAAUACAUGCAAGUCGAACGAACACUCUGACUUCGGUUGGGGUGUUAGUGGCGCACGGGUGCGUAACGCGUGGGAAUCUGCCCUUGGGUUCGGAAUAACAGUUGGAAACGACUGCUAAUACCGGAUGAUAUCGAAAGAUCAAAGAUUUAUCGCCCAGGGAUGAGCCCGCGUAGGAUUAGCUAGUUGGUGGGUAAAGGCUCACCAAGGCGACGACCCUUAGCUGGUCUGAGAGGAUGAUCAGCCACACUGGGACUGAGACACGGCCCAGACUCCUACGGGAGCAGCAGUAGGGAAUAGUUGGACAAUGGCGACAAGCCGUGAUCCAGCAAUCGCCGCGUGAGUGAUGGAAGGUCCUUAGGGUUAGUAAA
rnacentral:rRNA from 1 species